rnacentral:rRNA from 1 species
CCUACGGGCGGCAGCAGUGAGGAAUAUUGGUCAAUGGCCGGAAGGCUGAACCAGCCAAGCCGCGUGAAGGACGAAGGUGCCAAGCAUUGUAAACUUCUUUUGUCAAGGGACAAAAUCAGGCUCGAGAGCCUGACCGAGGGUACUUGAAGAACAAGCAUCGGCUAACUCCGUGCCAGCCGCCGCGGUAAUACGGAGGAUGCGAGCGUUAUCCGGAUUUAUUGGGUUGAAAGGGUGCGUAGGCGGACUGUUAAGUCAGCGGUAAAAGCCCGGGGCUCAACCCCGGCGAGCCGUUGAAACUGGCUGUCUUGAGAUGUCGAGAGGUAUGCGGAAUGCGCAGUGUAGCGGUGAAAUGCUUAGAUAUUGCGCAGAACUCCGAUUGCGAAGGCAGCACACCGGCGGCGAUCUGACGCUGAGGCACGAAAGCGUGGGUAUCGAACAGGAUUAGAUACCCCUGUAGUC